GGAGGGUGCGAGCGUUAAUCGGAAUUACUGGGCGUAAAGCGCACGUAGGCUGUAUGUCAAGUCAAGGGUGAAAUCCCACGGCUCAACCGUGGAACUGCCUUUGAAACUGGCAAACUGGAGUAUGUGAGAGGGCGGCGGAAUUCCUGGUGUAGGAGUGAAAUCCGUAGAUAUCAGGAGGAACAUCAGUGGCGAAGGCGGCCGCCUGGCACAAAACUGACGCUGAGGUGCGAAAGUGUGGGUAGCAAA
rnacentral:rRNA from 1 species